rnacentral:rRNA from 1 species
GAUGAACGCUGGCGGCGUGCCUAAUACAUGCAAGUCGAGCGAACAGAUAAGGAGCUUGCUCCUUUGACGUUAGCGGCGGACGGGUGAGUAACACGUGGGUAACCUACCUAUAAGACUGGGAUAACUUCGGGAAACCGGAGCUAAUACCGGAUAACAUUUGGAACCGCAUGGUUCUAAAGUGAAAGAUGGUUUUGCUAUCACUUAUAGAUGGACCCGCGCCGUAUUAGCUAGUUGGUAAGGUAACGGCUUACCAAGGCGACGAUCCGUAGCCGACCUGAGAGGGUGAUCGGCCACACUGGAACUGAGACACGGUCCAGACUCCUACGGGAGGCAGCAGUAGGGAAUCUUCCGCAAUGGGCGAAAGCCUGACGGAGCAACGCCGCGUGAGUGAUGAAGGGUUUCGGCUCGUAAAACCCUGUUAUUAGGGAAGAACAAAUGUGUAAGUAACUGUGCACGUCUUGACGGUACCUAAUCAGAAAGCCACGGCUAACUACGUG